UUUUUGUUUGUUUGUAGGGGUAAGAGGACUUCUUGUUUUACAAUGGCUUCCCUAAGAGAUACCUGGGCUUGUCAGCAAAGCAGCUAAUAAAACACUGGCCUAUUCUUUUUAUCUGAUUAUCACUUGAGAGGGGCUGGGAAGUAUCUUUUGAGGGAAAAGGUCUCUGGCACUGUAGGAUUUGGGUGUGAGCCACCACGCCCAGCCUAUUUGCAGUUUUUAAGAUGGAGAAAAAGGAAUCCUACACAAUGAAUUGGGUUUUCUUUGAUAAAUUAUCACUAAGCUGAGGGUUCUACAUUUGAUUGGUAAUGUGCCCAGAGUUGAUAUUUUAUUCUGCAUGUACUAAUUUUUUUCUGGUUUUUGGAGGUGUUCUCUAACCAAAACUGAACACUUUCUGGUAGCUAAAAACUGGUGUCUCUUUCCAGCUUCAUAUUUUUAUAAGGCUGAUAAUGCUGUCCACUGAACAGGACUAUUUCUUGGUAGGACAUAGAGAUGGUCACUGUUCUCAUUGUAGUUCCCGUGCAAGAAAAUGGAGACAUCAUGGGAUAGGGUGUUGUCAUUGUAGGUUUAAGAAUUGUCAUUCUGGCCGGGCGUGGUGGCUCAUGCCUGUAAUCCCAGCACUUUGGGAGGCUGAGGCUGGUAGAUCACCUGAGGUC
rnacentral:lncRNA from 1 species